rnacentral:misc_RNA from 1 species
UUUCCGUAGGUGAACCUGCGGAAGGAUCAUUAUUGGCUUUUGAAACUUCAGGCUGCUGCUGGCUCUCCUCGGAGGGCAUGUGCACGCUUGUUGUCCAUUAUUUCUCCCACUGUGCACAAAUUGUAGACCUUUCAGUAGGCCUAUGUUGUUUUUCACAAUCUCUGAAUGUAAUAGAAUGGUUUUGAAUCUUGGGAAAUACAAUACAACUUUCAGCAACGGAUCUCUUGGCUCUC